UUUAUGUAAGAAAUGUAUAAAUUGUUUUGCAAAACUUAGCAUUUAAAAUACAUAAAACUUUUCUUUUCCUCCUGUUUUCAUCCUUGAAUUUAUUCAGUCUUCAUCUGUCUGAGUUAUCAAAGCUGCUCAUCACCACAAACACAGCAACAGCAGCUGCAACAAAUUGGUUUUUGCUACAUGCAACAGCAUGGAUGAAUUACAUGGACAUAAUGUUGAGCUAUAGAAGCCAGACAUAAGAGGACCUACUGUAGCCAAAGCAAUUCUGAGAAGGAAGAAUAAAGCUGGGGGCAUUACGCCCCCCAACUUCAAGCUCUACUUCAAAGCCACAGUAAUCAAGACAAUUUGGUACUGGCACAAGAACAGACCCACAGACCAAUGGAACAUACUAGAGAGCCCUGAUAUAAACCCAACCAUAUAUGGUCAAUUAAUAUACGAUAAAGGAGCCAUGGAUAUACAGUGGGGAAAUGACAGCCUCUUCAACAGCUGGUGUUGGCAAAACUGGACAACUACAUGCAAGAGAAUGAAACUGGAUUAUUGUUUAAACCCAUACACAAAACUAAACUCGAAAUGGUUUAAAGACUUGAAUAUAAGUCAUGAAACCAUAAAACUCUUAGAAGACAACAUAGGCAAACAUCUCCUGAAUAUAAGCAUGAGCAACUUCUUCCUGAACACAUCUCCCUGAGCAAGGGAAACAAAAGCAAAAAUGAACUCAUGGAACUGCAUCAAACUAAAAAGUUUCUGUACGGCAAAGGGCACCAUCAACAGAACAAAAAAGCAUCCUACAGUAUGGGAGAAUAUAUUUGUAAAUGACAUAUCCAACAAGGAGUUAACAUCCAAAAUAUAUAAAGAACUUACAUGGCUCAACACCCAAAAAUCAAAUAACCCGAUUAACAAAUGGGCAGAGGAUAUGAAGAGACACUUCUCCAAAGAAAAAAUUCAGAUGGCCAACAGACACAUGAAAAGAUGCUCCUCAUCACUAAUCAUCAGGGAAAUUCAAAUUAAAACCACAGUGAGAUAUCACCUCACACCAUAAGGAUGGCCAGCAUCGAAAAGACUAAGAACAACAAAUGCUGGCGAGGAUGCGGAGAAAGGGGAACACUCCUACACUGCUGGUGGGAAUGUAAGCUAGUUCACUAGUUCAACCAUUGUGGAAAGCAAUAUGGAGGUUCCUCAAAAAACUAAAAAUAGAAAUACCAUUUGACCUGGGAAUCCCACUCCUUGGAAUUUACCCAAAGAAUCCAACUUCUCAGAUUCAAAAAGACAUAUGCACCCCUAUGUUUAUCGCAGCACUUUUUACAAUAGCCAAGAUAUGGAAGCAACCUAAGUUCAGUAGAUGAAUGGAUAAAGAAGUGGUGCAUAUACACAAUGGAAUACUAUUCGGCCAUAAGGAAAAAACAAAUCCUUCAAUUUGCAACAACAUGGAUGGAGCUGGAGGACGUUAUGCUCAGUGAAAUAAGCCAGGUGGAGAAAGACAAAUGCCAAAUGAUUCCCCUCAUUUGAGGAGUAUAACAAUGAAGCAAAACUGAAGGAACAAAAUAGCAGCCAACUCAGAGACUCCAAGAAUGAACUAGUGGUUACCAAAGGGGAGGGGAGUGUGGGAGGGCGGGUGGGGAGGGAGGGAGAAGGGGUUUGAGGGGUAUUAUGUUUAGUACACAUGGUGUAGGGGAUCACGGGGAGAACAGUGUAGCACAGAGAAGACACACAAUGGAUCUGUGGCAUCUUGCUGCACUGAUGGACAGUGACUGCAUUGGGGUAUGGGUGGGGACUUGGUAAUAAGGGUGAAUGUAGUAACCACAUUGUUUUUUCAUGUGAAACCUUCAUAAGAGUGUACAUCAAUCAUACCUUAAUAAAAAAUUU